rnacentral:rRNA from 1 species
CGAUUCUGGCUCAGAACGAACGCUGGCGGCGCGUCUUAAGCAUGCAAGUCGAACGGCAAGAGGUAGCAAUACCUCCUAGAGUGGCGGACUGGUGAGUAACACGUGGGUGACAUACCCUUCAGAUGGGGAUAGCUAUUAGAAAUAGUAGAUAAUACCGAAUACGAGCACAGGGGUUAGAGAUCUGUGAGGAAAGGAGCUAAGGCUCCGCUGAAGGAAUGGCCUGCGGCCCAUUAGCUAGUUGGUGAGGUAAGAGCCCACCAAGGCGACGAUGGGUAUCCGGCCUGAGAGGGUGUACGGACACAUUGGGACUGAGAUACGGCCCAAACUCCUACGGGAGGCAGCAGCUAAGAAUAUUCCGCAAUGGACGAAAGUCUGACGGAGCGACGCCGCGUGGAUAGAAGAAGGCCGGAAGGUUGUAAAAUCCUUUUGCUGAUGAAGAAUAAGUGUGGUAGGGAAUGACCGCAUGAUGACAUUAGUCGGUGAAUAAGCCCCGGCUAACUACGUGCCAGCCGCCGC